rnacentral:rRNA from 1 species
GCAAGUCGAGGGGUAACAGGGAAGCUUGCUUCCGCUGACGACCGGCGCACGGGUGCGUAACGCGUAUGCAACCUACCUUUUACUGGAGGAUAGCCCGAAGAAAUUCGGAUAAAUACCCCAUAACAUUACGAAGUUUCAUGAUUUUGUAAUUAAAACUCCGGUGGUGUAAGAUGGGCAUGCGUCCUAUUAGUUAGUUGGUAAGGUAACGGCUUACCAAGGCGAUGAUAGGUAGGGGUUCUGAGAGGACAAUC